rnacentral:lncRNA from 1 species
CUUAUAUGUAUGUUCGAGGUUGUUCUUCAGGCACUGAUGGGGGACUUUGUGUGGUCCGGGAGCGUUUUGCCAUUGAGAGUCCUUUGCUUGUGGAGCUGUGUCUUUUUUGCCAAUAACUAUAUAUUCUGUUAAGGAGUAUCAUUUUUUUUUUAAUUAUUGUGUAAUUAUUGUUAUCCACCCAGGCUAAAGUUUUUAAGGAGGUGGGAAUAUUGUGCCAUACUUCAUUUUUUAUUGUUCCUUUGGCUAGCUUUUUGGUUGAAAUAUGACCACCUAAGUCUUUCCUUCUCUAAGUCAUCUAAUGUGACAAGCAGUUUUUAUUAUAGGAAUUUCAUCAUAUGGGGCAGAAACUGACUCAAAAGUAAAAGAACCUUUCAUAUAAAGGUGCCGUAAAUAGGGGGUAACGUAAUGUUUCCCAUGAUCGUUAUUGAUUUAUGUUUAGGUACUUUUACUAAGUUGGUAUUUGAAUAUCUAGCUUAUAUAUAUAGCUUUUUAAUGUAUUUCAUCCUCAGGCUUAGAGUCGGGGCUUUGAUUUCAACUUCUACAUAUCAUUUAAAAAAUGGGAUGGAGAAUUAUGUUGAAGUACAAGGUCUUUCUAUUGGUUUAGCUGGCAUUUGAGUCCAAAAUGUCUCCUUUUAGCAUCUGUAAUAGCAAUUUUCGAGCAGACUUUUUGUUUUUCUUAAAAUUGAUCUGGAUUUAAUAGAUAAUUUAAUCCUAUAAAUUGACAUUGGAUAAAUGCCAUUAAUUGC